ACAGUGUUCAUCAUGUAUAAAAGCAGGUGCAACCAGGCCACAGUCAGACGUUUUCCUCAAUUCUCACUGGAUAGCAUCAACACCCCAAAGAGAAGCCAUGAAGCCAGUGAUCGUGCUGUACGUUGUGCUGAUGAUGAUUGCACUGGUGUGCAAUGUUUAUGCUGCAUGUGAGAAUGGAAGAUGUGCCAAGAGAUGUAGUAGUAAUGAAUAUAAAGACAGCAAUUCAUACUGUGGGGGUGGAAAUAUAUGCUGUGUUGAAAAAGGCUGGUGAAAAACAUCCGUAAAGGAAGAUGUGGAUCAAGCAACAUGCAUUAUUGUGUUUUUUCUUCUUUCAUUUAAAUUGAGUUGAAACAGUCAGACACUUACACAAGAUGCAUUCAUCAUGAUCUGCGUUUAUGCCAGUUUGAAUAAAAUCAAAUAUCACAACUAUA